UAAGAAAAUGGAAAGACUUGGGGAAAAAAUAAGGCUAAGUGAAGUGAGCCAGACCCAAAGAAACAUAGACUCUAUGGUUUCCCUCAUUGGGAAUAUUUAGUACAGGGUUAGGCUAGUCAUAACAGACGAUCGCAAGAGCCCAAUAGCUAUGCCCUUAUGAACACAUAAGAUGAUGCUAA